GGUACCGUCAAUCAAACGGAUUAUUCACCCGCAAGACAUUCUUCCCUGCUGAAAGGGGUUUACAACCCGCAGGCCUUCUCCACACACGCGGCAUUGCUGGGUCAGGCUUUCGCCCAUUGCCCAAUAUUCCCUA
rnacentral:rRNA from 1 species